GGGCCCAAGUGUCUGGGUCACGCUGACUCUUAAUCAGCGGGUCCCAGGUUCGAGCCCUGGUGCGCCCACCA
rnacentral:tRNA from 2 species